AUUGAACGCUGGCGGCAUGCCUUACACAUGCAAGUCGAACGGUAACGGGCCUUCGGGUGCCGACGAGUGGCGAACGGGUGAGUAAUGCAUCGGAACGUACCUUUCAGUGGGGGAUAACGUAGCGAAAGUUACGCUAAUACCGCAUAUUCUGUGAGCAGGAAAGCAGGGGAUCGCAAGACCUUGCGCUGAUUGAGCGGCCGAUGUCAGAUUAGCUAGUUGGUGAGGUAAAGGCUCACCAAGGCGACGAUCUGUAGCGGGUCUGAGAGGAUGAUCCGCCACACUGGAACUGAGACACGGUCCAGACUCCUACGGGAGGCAGCAGUGGGGAAUUUUGGACAAUGGGGGCAACCCUGAUUCAGCCAUGCCGCGUGAGUGAAGAAGGCCUUCGGGUUGUAAAGCUCUUUCGGCCGGGAAGAAAUCGCACGGGCUAAUACCCUGUGUGGAUGACGGUACCGGAAUAAGAAGCACCGGCUAACUACGUGCCAGCAGCCGCCGUAACAC
rnacentral:rRNA from 1 species